CCACCACCACCACCACCACCACUAUUACUACUACUACUAUUACUACUACUACUAUUACUACUAUUUGCUAAACUGUUAACUGGAUAUUUUAUGUCAUUAUCUUCUCUAGAUGGGGAAGUGGGGGAGGGGGGGAGAGAGGUAUACAUACAAGUUUGUGCAGCACACACGUGUGUAUCCAUACAUCUGAGUUGCUAUGCAUCUGAAGGUCAGAGGUCAAGGUCUGGUAUCUUCCUCAAUUGCGUUCCAUCUUGUCUUUUCAGACAGGAUCUGUCUCUGAGCCUGGAGCUCAGCGUUAGAGCUGUAGUCUUCCUUUAACCCCUACAACACUAUAGUUAUCAAAAGGCACCCCUGUGUACCUGGGUGUGCACUGGGAACUAGAACUACUGGCCUAUGAUUGUGUGACAGGCACUUUGCCUGGGCCUCUCCUAGCUGAUUUUUUAUACUGUGACAGGAACAAUUAUAAAGAAUUUAGCUGAGCUAACAGUUAAGAAUGCUUGGUCUUGCUAGGCCGUGGUGGUCCUUGCCUUUAAUACCAGAACUUGAGAGGCAGCGGCUGGCAGGUCUCUGAGUUUGAGGCCAGCCUGCUUUACAGAGUGAGUUCCUGGACAAUCAGGGCUACACAGGCACAGAGAAACCCUGUUUAGGAAAAAAAACAGAAACAACCCCCCCCCCAAAAAAAAA
rnacentral:lncRNA from 1 species